UGCACCUACGGGAGGCAGCAGUGGGGGAUAUUGCACAAUGGGGGAAACCCUGAUGCAGCGACGCCGCGUGUGGGAAGACGGUCCUCUGGAUUGUAAACCACUGUCCCCAGGGACGAUAAUGACGGUACCUGAGGAGGAAGCCACGGCUAACUACGUGCCAGCAGCCGCGGUAAUACGUAGGUGGCGGGCGUUGUCCGGAUUUACUGGGCGUAAAGGGAGCGUAGGCGGACUUUUAAGUGAGAUGUGAAAUACUCGGGCUCAACUUGAGUGCUGCAUUUCAAACUGGAAGUCUAGAGUGCAGGAGA
rnacentral:rRNA from 1 species